AAUACGGGGAGCUGGGAAAUGGCUUGGCUGAGAGGCAGCACCUUAUGCUGCGACCCAUAAACCUGAUCUGGGUAAUGCCAGCGUAGGGAGUC
rnacentral:ncRNA from 1 species